ensembl:snRNA U6 U6 spliceosomal RNA
GUGCUUGCUUUGACAGCACACAUAACAAAAUUGGAACAAUACAGAGUAGAUUAGCAUGACCCCUGAGUAAGGAUGAUUUGUGAAGCUAUUUUGUAUAACCCAGUGGA